rnacentral:rRNA from 1 species
UCAGUCGGGGGCUGUAAGCUCUCGUCUACACCCAUGUCUUUUGCGUACUCUUGUUUCCUCGGUGGCGCAAGUUGCCGAUUGGACAAACCAAAACCUUUUUUGUAAUUGCAAUCAGCGUCUGAAAAUAAUCUAAUUAUUUACAACUUUCAACAACGGAUCUCUUGGUUCUGGCAUCGAUGAAUAACGCAGCGAAAUGCGAUAAGUAGUGUGAAUUGCAAAAUUCAGUGAAUCAUCGAAUCUUUGAACGCACAUUGCGCCCCUUGGUAUUCCAUGGGGCAUGCCUGUUCGAGCGUCAUUUGUACCCUCAAGCUUUGCUUGGUGUUGGGCGUCUUGUCCUAUUACGACUCGCCUUAAAUUCAUUGGCANCCGGCACUUUGGCCUAGGAGCGCAGCACAUUUUGCGAUCGUAUNCCGUUGUACUGGCGUCCAUCAAGAACAUUUACCACGUUUGACCUCGGAUCAGGUAGGGAUACCCGCUGAACUUAAGCAUAUCAAUAA